UGCAAGUCGAACGGGAUUGGGAGCUUGCUCCCAUGAGAGUGGCGCACGGGUGAGUAACGCGUAUGCAACCUACCUUUAACUGAGGGAUAGCCCAUAGAAAUGUGGAUUAAUACCUCAUAGUUCUUUUGGUCCGCAUGGACUUAAAAGAUAAAGCUCCGGCGGUUAAAGAUGGGCAUGCGUGACAUUAGCUAGUUGGUAAGGUAACGGCUUACCAAGGCUACGAUGUCUAGGGGUUCUGAGAGGAUGAUCCCCCACACUGGUACUGAGACACGGACCAGACUCCUACGGGAGGCAGCAGUGAGGAAUAUUGGUCAAUGGGCGCAAGCCUGAACCAGCCAUCCCGCGUGCAGGAUGACGGUCCUAUGGAUUGUAAACUGCUUUUAUACGAGAAGAAACCCUCCGACGUGUCGGAGCUUGACGGUAUCGUAAGAAUAAGGAUCGGCUAACUCCGUGCCAGCAGCCGCGGUAAUACGGAGGAUCCAAGCGUUAUCCGGAAUCAUUGGGUUUAAAGGGUCCGUAGGCGGUCAGAUAAGUCAGUGGUGAAAGCCCAUCGCUCAACGGUGGAACGGCCAUUGAUACUGUCUGACUUGAAUUAUUAGGAAGUAACUAGAAUAUGUAGUGUAGCGGUGAAAUGCUUAGAGAUUACAUGGAAUACCAAUUGCGAAGGCAGGUUACUACUAAUGGAUUGACGCUGAUGGACGAAAGCGUG
rnacentral:rRNA from 1 species